CGAUUUAGGGCUUCUUCUCUUCCAGUUUUUCCUUUGGAGGUAAAUCUCCAACGCCUUGCUUUUCCUAUUCUCCGUUCCCAUCACAAAGGUUGUACAAGAUCGAGGAAUCUUUCUUAUUCGUUCACUUGGCAAUAGAAGUUUUGCUGUUUGAGAAUGAUAGACUCAUGAACGUUCUUGCAGUCACGUCAAGCAGCACACUUUCUUGGGAUGUUGGAAUACAAAAUUAAAAAAAUAUUUUUGUUCCUUUUGAAGAAAAUAAGGUGCAUCUUUGGUUGCAAGAUUUUGCACGUUUGGGGUUAACUUCGGGUAUAAAAGUGUAAAAAUAGCUAUAUUAUUUUAUUCACACAUUUUGUUUUUCAAAUAAAAUAUUCAUCCAAUAAAUUGGAUGUAUUUAAGCUUUCCAUUGCUCAAAGACUAUUGCCAUAUACAACAAGGCUAAAAGGAUAUUCUAUGAUUAUUUGCCUGCCCAAAUAUUAUGUUUGUGCCCGAAUCAUGAAUUCCCUCAAUAAUUCAAAUUUUUCUUUAGUAGUUUAAGUUUGCUUGAUUCAUGUCUCCAUAAUCUUUCAGAUAACACAUUGAAAUUAUUAGGUUUUGUCACAUGAAAGUUUACAUUUCUUUUAACAUAAAAAGUUUUACUUGGUACACUCAAAGAGAAGUGAUUAAAGGUUUGAGUUAAUCAUUCAAUCGAACUAAAAUAAAGGUGGUAAGCUACAACUUCUACGGUAAAAUUUGAAUCAUGCACAGGUAUAGAUCAAUCCUUAUACGUGAUAUCUGAUAGUGGCUUAAUGUUAAAAUUUCAUUAACUACCAUGCUUAAGAAUUAUGACAUAUAAGCUUCGUA